rnacentral:rRNA from 1 species
ACGAACGCUGGCGGCGUGCUUAACACAUGCCAGUCGAACGGAAAGGCCCUGCUUUUGUGGGGUGCUCGAGUGGCGAACGGGUGAGUAACACGUGAGUAACCUGCCCUUGACUUUGGGAUAACUUCAGGAAACUGGGGCUAAUACCGGAUAGGAGCUCCUGCUGCAUGGUGGGGGUUGGAAAGUUUCGGCGGUUGGGGAUGGACUCGCGGCUUAUCAGCUUGUUGGUGGGGUAGUGGCUUACCAAGGCUUUGACGGGUAGCCGGCCUGAGAGGGUGACCGGCCACAUUGGGACUGAGAUACGGCCCAGACUCCUACGGGAGGCAGCAGUGGGGAAUGUUGCACAAUGGGCGGAAGCCUGAUGCAGCAACGCCGCGUGCGGGAUGACGGCCUUCGGGUUGUAAACCGCUUUCGCCUGUGACGAAGCGUGAGUGACGGUAAUGGGUAAAGAAGCACCGGCUAACUACGUG